rnacentral:rRNA from 1 species
AACGAACGCCGGCGGCAUGCCUAACACAUGCAAGUCGAACGAGACCUUCGGGUCUAGUGGCGCACGGGUGCGUAACGCGUGGGAACCUGCCCUUAGGUUCGGAAUAACUCCCCGAAAGGGGUGCUAAUACCGGAUAAUGUCUUCGGACCAAAGAUUUAUCGCCUUUGGAUGGGCCCGCGUUGGAUUAGCUAGUUGGUAGGGUAAAAGCCUACCAAGGCGACGAUCCAUAGCUGGUCUGAGAGGAUGAUCAGCCACACUGGGACUGAGACACGGCCCAGACUCCUACGGGAGGCAGCAGUGGGGAAUAUUGGACAAUGGGCGAAAGACUGAUCCAGCAAUGCCGCGUGAGUGAUGAAGGCCUUAGGGUUGUAAAGCUCUUUUACCCGGGAUGAUAAUGACAGUACCGGGAGAAUAAGCUCCGGCUAACUCCGUG